rnacentral:lncRNA from 1 species
CAGCUCCCAAUAAAAAAUCCUAAACUCUCAGUCUCAAAUAGGAUUCCCUAGGCAGAAACACUGCAUAUGUGGUGUAUUUUUUCUGCUGUAAAGACAGUACACUCUGUGUGAUCCCUCAUGGGAAGAAUAGAGUAUAGGAAACCUGCAUACAUAUUACUCGAGACUCAGAUUGUGUCUUUUUCCCUAACUGAACAAACUGAGUAUCCUGACCAUGUUACCUGUAAAAAUUUGAAACAUGGAAGAAACUGUAUGCUGAGCUUGUGAGUCCUAGUAAACUACUGAGGAUGUGGGUGGUCUUGUGGACUCCUGAAACAGCUGUCAUGUAUUUUAUUUCCACACAUAUCUUAAACUCAAGGCUGAGACAUUAUCUUCAUUAGCUUGGAAAUAUCCUAGGAAACAAUUACAAAACAGUAAAAGGCAAGUACUCUUACGUCCUCAUGAAGAUCCUGGGUGGUGGUUUGCCCAGAGUCCUCAAUUCUCCAGUGAGUAAGAAAAUGUCUUUGAUUUUUCGUUUGCUCAGCUUUUGUCUUGUUGUAAGGAUGCAAUUGAUGUUUUCAGUCUUGUUAUAUGUAGAAACUGAAACUUAAAAGUCAGCUUCAAUUAAUAUUUUCAUUGUUAAUUUAGAAUAUAUUUACUGGUAUUGUGUAGUCACUGUAGUCCAAUGAAUCUUUUCUUAUCUCUCAAAAUAUUCUCUUACCUAUUACUAAUUGUUCACCUUUUCAACCCAUAUAGCCAUGAAUCUUCUCAUGCAUCCACAAUUCAUUUUCAGUGUAAAAUGCAUUGAGUUAUGCGCUGAAUGAUUCACUUAAUAUCCUUGUGUCUCAGUUUCUAAAUAUCUCAAAUGAAAGUUAGAAUGUGGAAUACCAUUCAGGAUUAUUUGUAAGUUAUUUUUUUUCAUGGUUAAUAUUCUAUAUACAGUUGCAUGUAAAGCAACAUUUUAAAAAAGGAAUCACAGUUUGAAUGUUUUAAAGCAGUGGUAUUCAAAAUGCAGUUAUUGAACUAGCAGCUUCAACCUUAUCUAGGAACUUUUUAGAAAUGCAAGUUUUUGAACCCCACACCUGAACUAAAGAUACAGAAACUCUGAAGGUGGGAUGCAGAAUCUGGUUUUAACAGGCCCGGCAGGUGACUCAGAGUCAAGUUAUAAUUGAGAACCACUGAUUUAGAACAGUGCAUCCAUUGUUUUACAUAAUCUUUCUCUAAAUUGUUAUUAAAUUACAUAAUCAUAAUUUAGUGUACAUUUAUUAUUCUUUUCUAUUUGGACUUUCAUAGAUUAGUUUUUAAAACAUGCUUAUAUAUUUACUUAUAAAUAUAGUCAUUUGUAUGAGUAUCUUAAUAGUGUAACUUAGUUCUGUAGGUAUGUGGGACUGUAAGCAGGUGGAUCAUUCAGUAUGCCUAAAGAUUCAGUUGAAAGCAAGUGUCAAUAUAAAUGGAAAGGAGUCUAUAAUGAUAUGAGGCUUCAUGAGCAUGGAUUUUUUAAUGAAUUUGUAGUACAUGUUUAGAGUUUGAACUUCCACAUUGACACAUGUAAACAAAAUUAGGAUCAAAUUACCGGUUAUGAUUAUUUCAAUUUAUAGAUGUGAACAUAAUUGGAACUUUUUUUUCUAACAGGCUUAACAGCCUUUUCCUGUUACUGAGUAAACAUUUGUGUGAUAUUGUGCUUUACCACAGACAAAUAAUCCCAUAUUUUCUCUGCAUCUAUGCCUACUUGUUUUCAAUAUGCUUAAUAUCUGGCAUAGAUCAACAUUUAUGUCAAAGAACACAUUAUUUUCUCAGGUGGGAAAACUUUAAAAAGAUAACCUUAGAGGUUUUCCAUAGAUAAACACUUCAGGUGAGGUUAAGGAUAAGACAACUGAUUGGUAAUUUGUGAGCAAAUAAUUUUUUGAUAAGAUUAGAAAAGUUUGUUAUAAAUUGAGGUAGAUGUUGAGAAAGAUGAAGUCAAGAUUUUCUAUAACACAUACUAUUGUGAUUCCUUUAUAAAGCAACUAUUUAUAUGAUAUAUCUCACAUCAAAUCCAUCUCCUCCACUGUGUCUGCACCAAUCACUUUCUAUGUAAAAUUGGUUAGGAUGUAAAGCAUUAAGUAUUAUACAACGAGUUAUUAAUAUUUUAAAAUACUGAUUCAUCUCUCUAGAGAUACAAUAUAGUAGGGAACAUUUCUAUUAAAACAAUUUAAAAUAAUAAUAAAUAUAAUCACCUCACUUUAGACUAUCUGAUGAGAAUGAACCUAAUUUGAAAAGCAGUAACUUAUCAAAAGAAAUCAUAGCUUUCCAUCCUUUCUAUUAUUUUCCUUGUGUCCUGAGAAAAAAAUAAAAUAAGACUUACUGGUUUCAUGAUAUUUUUAUAUUGUGCAUUAAUGAUGGGUUUCACGUGGUGAUGGUAGCUUAGACUGAGAGGCAUUGUUCACUUUUAGAACCACAUUGAUUUUUUUUCACAUCUGUUUUAUGAAUCACAAAAGCUAAAGCCAUAAUGUGUUAGCAAAAGGGUACUGGUAUAAUUUACAGUAAAACAAUGUUGACCUGAAAAGAAAAAGCUGGUGGUAUUUAUAUCAAUAUGUAGAGUAAUUCUUGAACUAUAUUAGCAGUUCAAUAAAUACUAUUGAAUAAAAAAUAAUACAAUUAAAUGUGUAAUCAUUUGCUUAACAGAAUAUGUACAUGGGAUAGAUUAGGAAUGUAAAUAAUAAUAAAACCUAAAAUUAAUUAAGAAACACAUUAUUUACAAUUAAUUUCUAAAUAAAAUAAAAAAAUACUAAAAUAUUAAAAUAUUUCAUGUUUUUAAAUCUAUACCAUGACAAAGUAAUAGCUCAUCUGGGCCUGGUGUGGUAGCUCACGCCUGCAAUACCAGCACUUUUGGAGACCGAGGUGGGCAGGUCACCUGUGGUCAGGAGUUUGAGACCAGCCUAACCAACAUGGUGAAUCCCUGUCUCUAUUACAAAUACAAAAAAAAAAAAAAAAUGGCCAAGCAUGGUGGCACCCAUCUGUAGUCCCAGUUACUCGGGAGGCUGAGAAGGAGAGUCGCUUGAACAGAGGAGGCAGAGGUUGCAGUGAGCCAAGAUCGCUCCACUGCACUAUAGCCUGGGCAACAGAAAGAGACUCUGUCUCAAAAAAAAAAAAGAAAAAAAAAGAAGUCAUAGCUCAUCUGAUUUUACUCAGAGAAUAAUAAAAUACAAAUAAAUCUUAAGGGGUCCCAUGACCUUCUGAUCUUGUUUUCCCUUGCGAGGAUGGCCAUAUUUUCCAUUAAACAUUGAUUUAAUAACUAAUUUUAGGAAGUUACUCUCCUGAAAACAUGCUACCAUGAGCUGUAGUCCUCUUAGUGCCCACUCUUUCUCUUUGGAUAAGAGGUUAAUAAAUUUGGAAGAAUAUAUUAAGCAUGGAACCCCUUGCUCUGUAUUAAUAAAAUACUAUGCCCACAGAGAGGGAAAUUUGUUUCUUUCUUCUUCAGGGACAGGUCUGUCUGUGGCAGAGACCUACCCACAUUCAGGGAAGAUAAAUAUGUAUGUUAAAUUCUGGGCUUUCUAUUAGAAAGUAUAGUUUUCCGUAAAUAGCAGCAAUACAAUCUAACCUACAGAUAAUCAAUAAUUACACCUCACUCCCUUUUAUGAAAUACUUUUUGUACUUGGCUUCCAAGGGACUACUUUUGACUCUCUUUUCUGUCAUGAAAAUUUUACGUGAAAUGUGAUAUGCACAAAUGUGAA